ensembl:antisense Hoxaas3 Hoxa cluster antisense RNA 3
GAGUUGAGGAGGCUGAACUGAGAACAGGAUGCAAGAAGCCCUGUUGUCUCUACACCACAAGAAUUCCACACACGCAUCUAGCCCCUCUUCCAGGGCUCGAGAAAUCACUCUAACCAGAAAACCGGGCAAACGAAGCAGGCAACCAUCGGAGAACUCUGAAUUAGUCUCACCUUCAGACCGCGGCUCCCAGAAGCUUCUGCCUCUCUGACAGCUGUCGCUUCGGCAGCCCAAGAGACGAAUUGUCCUCCUUCCUGGUGCCAGAGGACGCAGGAAAUUAGCCAGGUUGCAAGUUGCAAAGCAGCGGCGGCUGCUCCAGGAACUGGACGCGCUCCACCUCCAGCGACAACCGCUGGCCUGGGCCUGGCAGCGGCUUCCCCUCGCUCGCCAUCGCCGGACAAAGCGCAGCCCAGGCAGGCUGGCAAGGCAGAGCUCCGAAGCACGCAGGAUGGAGCGGAGCAAAAGAAUGCGGCUCUAUUCUCGCAAGGGAAAUUAUAAAAAAGUUCAUGUUCACGGUUCCUAUCCACAUGACCGACAGCGGCCAAUGGAAGGGCCGAACAACUCAUAAAGUUGUAUUGCAAAGUUGUAAAUUUUCAUAAACAACAACGGAUUUAUGACCCUUUCCCCAUCACUAAGAGGAGGCGGCUCUUACACAGACGCCAUCUUACCACCGAGUCUGUCCCGAUUUGGGGCUGCAGGUUUUUCAGACCCUUUUAGGUCCGAUUUUAUUUAUAAAAAAGUCCUAAGAAACUGGCCCAGCCUAGUCAGGGGAUAAGAAUGGAGACCUUCGCGGGCCCAGCUCAGGAUGCUCUAAGCUACUUCCACCGCCUCUCGCCCCUGGUCUCUCACCGCUAGCCCCUUCCCCAGCCACAGUCCUUCCUCAGCAACAGGACUUGGACUAGGUUGCGCCGCAGGGUUUGAGGCCCAUGUCGUCCAAGAAUCCCUCAGCUGCAGUGUUGGACCCUGGGGCAUCCUCACCCUUACUGAAGGCUAAGUGGGGGUACUGCAGCAGGGACCCUGAAUUCCAUGUCUUUCCUACCCCUGGACUGUACUCAGGACGCAUGUGGAAUCCGGGAUCAAUUGGAGGGUAGGUAAUACCCUUUUAGAGCUCAGUCUACACCUUUAGAGGAAAGUUGAAUUUGGAAUUCGUUCAUGGAAUUUAUGAAAGUUUGAGAGGCCGUAGAUAGAAUAUGUAGCAUUAACAAAUAGUCUUUUUUCAAUGGAUCUAAAUAGAUAUUGGUGCACAUACAAUAGCCAGACAAAAACCAUCUACAAAGAGGAAGGCAUAUAUACAAUUAUAGUCACAGAAAAACACAGAAACCCACACACACAAUUAUAGACAUGAGAAAUGUUGAUGCACACGCAUGUGUGUGGGAAUGCAUACAAUUAUAACUAUAAGCAAGCACACAGAGAAAUAGAAAUGUGCUUAAGUACACAUAAAAACAUGUGAAAAGAGACAUGAUACAUUUGUCCAUGAAUAGCUAAAAUUUGGACUCAGGGACAGUGGCUCUGCAUUUGUUUCCCGUGUCUCUUUGGCCUACAGCCAGGGCUGGUCCUUCAGCUAUGGCCACUUCCCCUUGCCCAAGACCCUCUGGAUAAAGCAGUCCGUGUUUCUUUGUCACCAAGCAUCUUUAUUGUUACAUAAAACACAGGUAGCUGGGCUGGGAAGCGUGCCUUCUCUGAACCCCAGGCUGGGGGGUGGGACGGGACAUGAGGAGACAAGGGAGAUGAUGGCCCCGGUGGGUGCUGGACUUCCCCCACCCACUACAGAAUUAGUUCAAUACAACACACCAUGCUACAAAGUCACCCCAUUAAAACAUCCUUCCAAAGUCAAGACAUUCCUUUACAAAUGAGCUCCAAGAUUAUAGAAAUGACAACAACACAAAAAAAAAUCUGGUUCAAAUAUACAGUAUUUGUCCUUGUAGGAAAAGUCAGGGUAUACAUAUUUGACAUGGCUGAACAGUAGGACACAAAAGCAAGGGGGAGAGGACAGUGAGUCUGGGAACAUCUCCUUAGUCCCACAAAAACAAAACCCAGAGCUAUUCCAGAGGAUGGCAGCCAGCUCGGGAAUGCUCCCCUCCUGAAGUAGGGUUAAUGGCCCUGACCUUGUGUCAAAGCCAGAGAAAGAGGGAUUCUAGGUUACAGCACUUGGUAUGCUUUGGAAUAAAUAUAUUAUUUUUCAAUUUAAAUAGAAGCC